rnacentral:rRNA from 1 species
CAGCCGCCACGGUAAAACGGAGGGGGCUAGCGUUGUUCGGAAUUACUGGGCGUAAAGCGCACGUAGGCGGCUUGGUAAGUUAGAGGUGAAAGCCUGGAGCUCAACUCCAGAAUUGCCUUUAAGACUGCCGAGCUAGCAGGUGAGAGAGGUAAGUGGAAUUCCGAGUGUAGAGGUGAAAUUCGUAGAUAUUCGGAAGAACACCAGUGGCGAAGGCGGCUUACUGGCUCAUACUGGACGCUGAGGUGCGAAAGCGUGGGGAGCAAACAGGAUUAGAUACCCGUGUAGUCCCUGUCUCUUAUAC